UACGAAGGGGGCUAGCGUUGCUCGGAAUCACGUGGGCGUAAAGCGCACGUAGGCCGGAUUGUUAAGUCAGGGGUGAAAUCCUGGAGCUCAACUCCAGAACUGCCCUUGAUACUGACGGUCUCGAGUCCGGGAGAGGUGAGUGGAACUGCGAGUGUAGAGGUGAAAUUCGUAGAUAUUCGCAAGAACACCAGUGGCGAAGGCGGACUCACUGGCCCGGUACGUGACUGCUGAG
rnacentral:rRNA from 1 species